AGCAUAUCACUAAGCGGAGGAAAAGAAACUAACUAGGAUUCCCCCAGUAACUGCGAGUGAAGAGGGAAGAGCUCAUCAUUGGAAUCUGGCAGUGUUGCACUGUCCGAGUUGUAGAUGAGGAGUAGUCCGUCUGGACUGCAUGGCGUCCAAGUACAAUAGGCCGUCAGUGGGACAUCAUAGAGGGUGACAAUCCCGUCCUUGACGCCGAUGUGCAAGUCUAUUACGAUGGCUAUCUCAGAGAGUCGAGCAGUUUGGGAUUUGCUGCUUAAACAUGGGAGGUAGAUUCCUUCUAAAGCUAAAUACAGGCGAGAGACCGAUAGAGAACAAGUACCGCAAGGGAAAGAUGAAAUAGCACUCUGUGAAGGGAGUCAAAAGGCGUGAAAUUGUUGCGAGAGAAGCGAUUCAAGUCAGCGUAGCUAGGCCCAUCAAGCGUCUUCGCUUUGGACUAGCUUUGCCAGCGGUCUUGUCCCUUGAAGAGACUUGACUUGUAAUAUGUCCAGCCUGGCGUGCACAGGCAGCCCCUUCUGGGGGCCAGUGGCAUGGCUGGUGGAAUGGCUUGCAAUCGACCCGUCUUGAAACACGGACCAAGGAGUCUAACAUGUAUGCGAGUAUAAGGGUGGCAAACCCGUAUGCGCAAUGAAAGUGAUUUUCGGUGAUUGAGAAUGGCCUGAUGACCAGACAAGCAAUAUAUGUCCCUCGUACGGCCAUUGCCCAAGUUCCGUGGUAGAUCCCACGAACAUGGAGUUGGAGCAUACAUGCUAGGACCCGAAAGAUGGUGAACUAUGCCUGGACAAAGCGAAGCCAAAGGAAACUCUGGUGGAGGCUUGUAGCGAUUCUGACGUGCAAAUCGAUCGUCUGAUCUGGGUAUAGGGGCGAAAGACUAAUCGAACCAU
rnacentral:rRNA from 1 species